rnacentral:rRNA from 1 species
GUGCAAACGUUAUUCGGCAUCACUGGGCUUAAAGGGCGCGUAGGCGGGCAGGCAAGUCAGGGGUGAAAGCCCACGGCUCAACCGUGGAAGCGCCUUUGAUACUGCCGGUCUCGAGGGAGGUAGGGGCGUGCGGAACUUCCGGUGGAGCGGUGAAAUGCGUAGAUAUCGGAAGGAACACCGGUGGCGAAAGCGGCGCGCUGGACCUCUUCUGACGCUGAGGCGCGAAAGCCAGGGGAGCAAACGGG